CCUACGGGAGGCAGCAGUGGGGAAUAUUGCACAAUGGGGGAAACCCUGAUGCAGCGACGCCGCGUGAGUGAAGAAGUAUUUCGGUAUGUAAAGCUCUAUCAGCAGGGAAGAAAAUGACGGUACCUGAUUAAGAAGCCCCGGCUAAAUACGUGCCAGCAGCCGCGGUAAUACGUAGGGGGCAAGCGUUAUCCGGAUUUACUGGGUGUAAAGGGAGGGUAGACGGCAGCACAAGUCUGGAGUGAAAUGUCGGGGCUUAACCCCGGAACUGCUUUGGAAACUGUGCAGCUAGAGUGCAGGAGAGGUAAGUGGAAUGCCUAGUGUAGCGGUGAAAUGCGUAGAUAUUAGGAGGAACACCAGUGGCGAAGGCGGCUUACUGGACUGUAACUGACGUUGAGGCUCGAAAGCGUGGGGAGCGAACAGGAUUAGAUACCCCAGUAGUC
rnacentral:rRNA from 1 species